CCAUGGCAUGUGGAGGUUCCCAGGCUAGGGGUCGAAUCGGAGCCGUAGCCACCGACCUGCACCACAGCCACGGCCAUGCAGGAUCUGAGCCUCGUCUGCAACCGACACCACAGCUCACGGCAACACCGGAUCCUUAACCCCCUGAGCGAGGCCACAUCCUCAUGGAUACCGGUCAGGUUCGUUACCACUGAGCCACAACAGGAACUUCUCUAGUAAUCACAUUUAAAAAAGGAAUUAUAAACACAAAUUACUUUUAAUACAUCUCACUUAAGCCAACAUAACCAAAAGACACGACUUCAACACGCAAACAAGCUUCUUCACGUCGAGUGUGACGCUUUACACUCUCCCGUUCACACCAAGUCUGCAAACCCCGCAUGCACUUAGCACUCACAGCACAUCUCAGCUCUAAAGAACCGCAUGUGACUGGGGGCUGUCACACUGGGAAGCAGCUCCAGAUCUCAAACACCAGUGGCAGGAAGGAGAGAGGACGAAGCCACAUCACAGUGGGUUAAAGGAUCCGGCGUUGUGACAAAGGCAGCAACUAUGGCUCAGACCUGAUCCCUGGCCCAGGAGCUCCACAUGCCACAGAGUUUUUUUUACAAAAGUGUAAAAAAAAAGAGAGAGUGCUACAUGUCAUAUUUUGUUCCUAAUUUGAAAUAAGAAAUCUAGACAGUGAGUGAAUAUUUACUGACUGAGAUAAUUACAGUAAGUGAAACGUAUCUAAAAACGGCUUCGAGAAGUUCCCGCAGUGCUGUAGCAGGUUAGAGAUCCAGCUCUGCCCCUGGGGGUGUAGGUUCCAUCCCCGGCCCAGCACAGUGGCUGAGGACCGGGUGUUGCUACAGCUCUGUCAUCGGUCACAGCUGGGCCUCAAACGGGGCCCCUGGCUGGGGAACUUCCAUACGCUAUGGGUGUCAUCUAAAAAAAAAAGGAAAAAAGAAAAAGAACUGCAUCAAAAUAAUUGCGAAUGGACUGGAGAGUGGCCGAGAGGAGACAAACGUUGACACCAGGGGACAAGCACACGGGACUCGUUCUGCCACCUGAGUAGGUUUGAAAAAGUUCCAUGAAAGGAGGUCCCUUUGGUGGCUCAGCGGUUAACGAAACCGACCCUGGCCUCACUCAGCAGGUUAAGGAUCCAGCGCUGCCCUGAGCUGUGGGGUAGGUCGAAGACGCGGCUCGGAUCCCACGUUGCUGUGGCCAUGGUGUAGGCCAGUGGUUGUAGCUCCCAUUCAGCCCCUAGCCUGGGAACCUCAUGUGCCACGGGAGCGGCCCAAGAAAUGGCAAAAAAGACAAAAACAAAAAACAAAAACAAAAAACGAGAAUUCUAAAAUAUCCACCUAUGAAUUUGACAGUAUAUGUUCAGUCACUACGACGCCGGCAGCCUGCCCAGGACAGAGCCGAGUGGCUGGGACACAGGAGGCAGACGCCCCAGUUCACCUCAUCCCUUCUGGAUUCGGAGCCAGGUAACGGGCUCUUCCACUCAAACUAAGUCGAGACACGCGGCUCGACCCACUCAGCCGCCUCUCACGCCCCCGCCAAGCUGCAGGGCGCCAGCCUCCUCACUGCCGCCCUCCAGCCACCUUCUUAAAAUAUCAACCCAGGCCUAAGGCUCGCCUGAGGGCCCCGAGACCACCAACUCGCCACCAGGGCGACAGGGCCCUGGAUGACCUUCGCCCCUUCGGACCGAGUAACUCUACCGCGUACCAGAGGGGACAGACUCGCCCAACUCACAACCCAGGAAGCUGGAACAUCUAGCAAACAAACACCGCGUGGCUGGCAAAACGGGAAAGACACAGACACACGCAUGGCGCCCGCACGCGGACAGAGCCGCUCUGAGCACGAGCGCGCACACGCGGGCGGGCGGGGCAGAAACUAACCCGACAACGAGCCGGCAUUCUUAGGGGUCUGGGUCUCGCUUUUCAGUUCUGCUCAGAUGCCCGAUUUUUUGGACAUGCACAGCUGUACCUUGCCCUUCCGCUUCAGGUCUCACCAGCUUUACCACCUGGACCAACUCCUCCUCCUCCGGGACCCUUUCCGAACACGGCCGCCGGCAGCUAUCGGUGCGAGAGUACAGGCUUCUUCUUGUUUACCUUUAACUGAUUCCAUCUCAUUUCCUGCUGGGUAAUAUUUGCUCUAUAACACGCUCAGAUUUUUGUGACAUCAGAGACCAAUCUUAUAAACUCACACUCUCACCCGAGACCUGGAAUAGCACUUUGUAAACACAAGGUGCUCAAUAAAUGCAAGAGUAUUUUAAACAUACUUUGAUCAGAACUUACAAAUCCACUAAAAGCGGGCUGCGGAAAGCAGUCCAAAACCUUUCCCAAAGCAAAACAUCAAGUGACAGGGAUGUCACUGAGAGUGAGGAAAUGCCGCCUUUGAAGAGUUAGAAGAUCGCUUCAACUUUCGUUUUUUUAAAUCCAAAACCUACUAAAGUUGGGUUUUUCUUAAAUAAAUGAAGAUACCAGAAGUUAAAUACAAGCGGAACCGCACUCGGGAGGACGUCUCAGUUUUAGAACUGAAGCUUUUCCUAUCACACCUGCGGAGGCCGACAUACCUGGUCUCCAGGAACACGGCCCUGAGUGACUGGCUGAGGGGCACCGCGAGCUGAAACCACCUGCCCACUUUGCCAUGAGACAACGUCAUCCACCCGACAUGGCCGUCCGGGGACACGGCGAAGGACAGACCAGUCCCAAAGAGAAGAGCCCAAAAUAGGCUUCCCAUCAGCUGCAUUACUUUCGAAGUCAAACUCAACAUGCUCAAAUGUACCAAACUGUUUUGUGAUGUGACCGGAAGCAGAAGCAGGAAGCAGGGGCUGCAGGGGCUCUGGCCACUCAUGGGCCCAAUAGCUAAGCUACUCUUCCAGGCAUCAGGGCUGAGGUACAUUUAUUGCCUCUGUUAGGACUCCAGAACCACAGGCUAAGUAGUAAGAUCCCCAAACGGGCAGCCGCAUCCAGAGGAUGGCUGUGCUUUCAGUGUGGGUGAAAAUUCGCUUCCCGAGAUGUAGCGUAAAUGCCUCUCAUUUCUGGAUGGCAGAGCAGACCUUCCACCCCCUUCUCUUAUCAAAGAUCAACCAAAGACAAGAGCAGGAAAGAGAAACACACACUCCAACUAGGACACAUCCAAAACCCCACACAAAACAUGCGUGGAAAGAAGACUGCGUCACCCCAGAGCGGAGCGAGGGACACCCUGAAAGGCGCUCGCUGCUGAGAAGCUGACUGCCUGACCCACAGGGCCAUGGAAAGGCUCAGACGAUGGGGCAGAGGCCUGGAGCUAGAAAGGGCUGUGGCCAACACUCCAAGCAAGGGACGCUGGAUACUCUGGCCCCUGGCCCUCCUGCACGCGCAGGCAAGGACUCUUCCAUGGCCACCAGACACCCAAACAUACCACGCUUGAGCAGAGCAGCACAAAGAAAGACAGGAGGGGGUGCCAGGACUGAAAACAGGGAGAUGAGGGCCAAGACUACCUCCUGAACCCUGGGAAGACCCAACCCUCCCCCCACCCUUCAGCCCAGCUCCAACGCGCAGCUCAGACCAACACGGCAGAGCUGAGGGACCCUUCUCCAAGGAACCCAAACCAGGGGACACCAACAUCUGGAGGAGAGCCCCCUAAGCAACCUGAGCCGUCACCCUCCAGCAAGGGCAGUGAGUAAAUUCCCCCCAUGCCCUCAGCCUUGCACUUUCAGUACUUGAUUCAUGAGAUGAAUAAGCAGCUGAGGAUCACUAGACUUUGGAAGAAGGGUUUGCAGCACGAAGGAAGGAGACCAAGAGGUACAAGAGCAAAGAGGAAAGCAGAAGGCACAAAAAAAGGGCAGGAAACAAAAGUUCUUUAAUUUCUAAAAUUUUAACUGUAAUUUUCUGUUUUUCAUUCGUUUGUUUGUUUUUGGCCUUGCCCUUGGCAUGUGAAAGUUCCAGGGCCAGGGAUCAAACCAGCACCACAGCAGCCACCCAAACCACAGAAGUGACAAUGCCGGGCCUUUAACCCACGGAACCGAGAGGUAGCUCUCUUAACUGUUUAAUUUUUAAAAUUUAAUUGAAAUUAAUAGAUAAGCAAAGACACUGCAUAUAUAAAACAAGAACAGGAGGCAGUAAAAAAAGAACCCAGAACAGUAAAGAACAUGAAAAUGGGAAGGAAGUUAAAAACUCAGUAAAGAAUUAGAGAACUGUCAAAAAUACUUCCAAAAAGUGGAACAAAAAGCUCAAGAUAGGAAAAGGAGAAAAGAUUUUAAAAAUCAGAAUAUUAAGAAGAGGGUCCAACACUCAACAAGAGGAACUGGGAAAGGAGAACACAGAGGAAGGAGUAAAGAACUAUCUCAAACACAUAACACAGAAAUUCCCUAGAAACAGGACAGCAAUCCCCAGAUUUCCGGGCUACUGGGUUCCCUGCGUGAUAAACAAAGGAAGGCUGCCACAAAGGCCUAUCACACAAACUGGGAAAAUCAAGGAUGCAAGGUUCCUCAAAGUCUGAAGGUGGAAAAGUGUUUAUUAAGGAACAUGGGUCAAGCUGGACUUCUCGACAGCAACAACGCAAACCAGAAAACACUGAUCUAUAACUUCAGAGUUACUUCCAAACAAACCUGGAGUGCCAAGCCCAGCCAAACUUACUCUUUGUUUUUUGGUUUUUGUUUUUUGUUUUUUUGUCUUUUGUCUUUUUAAGGCUGUACUGGCGGCAUGUGGAGGUUCCCAGGCUAGGGGUCUAAUCAUUGCUACAGCUGCCGGCCUCCACCACAGCCAGGGCAACGCCAGACCCGAGCCACGUCCGCAACCUACACCACAGCUCAUAGCAACACCAGAUCGGAUCCUUAACCCACUGAGCGAGGCCAGGGAUCGAACCCACAGCCUCAGGUUUCCCAGUCGGAUUCGUUACCACUGCCCCACAACAGCAACUCCCGCCAAAUUUACUCUUUAAGUGCAGUGGUAGAAUAAAAACAUUUUCAGACGUGCAAGCCUCAAAAGUUUGCCUCCCAGCAAACUACUGGGAAGCCACUGGAAACGUGAGCCACCACUAGGAGGAGGGAACACCCAGAGGGGAGCCACAGAAGGCAGGACGGGAGAGCUCCCAGGAUAACGUGUGCACAGACCGACCCCGACCUGAGCCCAGGAAGCCUGUCUGGGGUAGGGUGCCUGAGGAGUACCUCGGAACGGACAGAUGCGCUGCCAGGGCUGAGUGGGAAAAAGAUCCUACAGAAUGAAAGUCUCCGCAACAUAAUUCUGAGGUUCAAAGAGAACAGGCAAAGGAAACACAGGCAAUUAGUGCCUGCAGCCUAUGCUAACUCCAGGGCCAGGGAUGGAAACUGCGUCACAGCAGCAACCCAAGCUGCUGCAGCCGCAAUGCCACAUCUUUAAGCGGCUGUGAAAAAUAAGUGAACGUUAACUCCAGGUAAGUAAAAAAGGCUACACAAGAGAAGAAAUAGGAUCAGGGGUAAGCGCUCAGCUCAGCAAAGCACAGUGACGACCUGAACAGACUGGCAGCAGUGCUGAAAUGGAUUUAACCAAAACGGGGAGCUACCUACAUGACAGGGGACGAGGGACGUGGUACCGUCAUCUGCCAUUAGUGGAAGCUGGCAGAUAACCCCAAAAUCGGUGAACAAAGACAGGACAACUCAAGCAUGUUACGGAGAAACAUGAGGUAAAUUCUACAGUGUCAAGUGCUGCUGCCUCUCCGGAAAGGCAGGAGAGGAUGGCAGCGUUCUCAGUGUCUCUUGGCGCUACUGACAUCCUAAACUAUGCACAGGGCAUGUAUUAUUUGAAGAAAAAAAAAUUAAGGUUAAAGAAAGAGAUACAUAGUAGCCACCCUGCUAGAAGAGUAAACAAUGGCCCAAGAAGGCCUUCUUGCCGAAAGGUAGUGUCUUCCUGGCUCAAAAGCCAUAGGUGACCCUGAACAAACUUUAAAUCCCAGGAGCCCGCACUUACUACACCACAAAAUGGGGGAUGUAUUUCACUCCCUCAGCCGUUCUUUUUAGUGUAAACGUGGUGACCGUCUUUCUAGGUCAAGGAAUAGAAGAAAGAAUAAAUACGCAGUUAGAUAAAUCUCACGAAAUUUAGGAACAUGGACACAGGGAACUUGGUUGAAUCAUGUGGCAAUUAGUGAGCCCCAACCCAGGAACCACUUUCCCAGUUUAGGGGGAACUGACGACCCCAGGCCUACCCACCGUCCAGGAAGCCCCUCACGUCCAUAGUAAACACUCAGAAUCACAAAUCUAAGCCCAGAGCUUCCAUUAAUUUAAAGCAACCGCCACAGAUACAGCACAACAGGCUCUGGGGCCAGACCACCUGCAUCCACCUUCUCCA
rnacentral:lncRNA from 1 species